GCCUAUGGCCAUGCCACCCUGAACAUGCCCAAUCCCGUCUGAUCUCAGAAGCUAAGCAGGGUUGAACCUGGUUAGUACUUGGAUGGGAGACCACCUAGGAAGACCAGGUGCUGUAGGCA
rnacentral:rRNA from 1 species